AUUCUGUGAGGCCCCCACUAUCUUUCGUCGUUCCGCCAAGUUCGUAAGAAAGAUAGUGGGGGUUUUCCUUUUA
rnacentral:ncRNA from 1 species